rnacentral:tRNA from 1 species
GCCUGGGUGGCUCAGUCGGUUAAGCGUCUGACUUCGGCUCAGGUCACGAUCUCGCGGUUCGUGAGUUCGAGCCCCACGUCGGGCU